rnacentral:rRNA from 1 species
AUUGAACGCUGGCGGCAGGCCUAACACAUGCAAGUCGAGCGGGGUUUUCGGACCUAGCGGCGGACGGGUGAGUAAUGCGUAGGAAGCUACCCGAUAGAGGGGGAUACCAGUUGGAAACGACUGUUAAUACCGCAUAAUGUCUACGGACCAAAGUGUGGGACCUUCGGGCCACAUGCUAUCGGAUGCGCCUACGUGGGAUUAGCUAGUUGGUGAGGUAAUGGCUCACCAAGGCGACGAUCCCUAGCUGGUUUGAGAGGAUGAUCAGCCACACUGGAACUGAGACACGGUCCAGACUCCUACGGGAGGCAGCAGUGGGGAAUAUUGGACAAUGGGCGCAAGCCUGAUCCAGCCAUGCCGCGUGUGUGAAGAAGGCCUUCGGGUUGUAAAGCACUUUCAGUAGGGAGGAAGCGUUGUGUGUUAAUAGUACACAGCGUUGACGUUACCUACAGAAGAAGCACCGGCUAACUCUGUGCCAGCAGCGCGGUAACAC